GUAUUCUUCAAGUAGGGGAAUAAAAAACAUCCCUAUUAAACUCAGAUGUCAUAUCUAAAGUUUGGCAUGUGAAUCCUGUCUGGGGAAACAGAA